rnacentral:misc_RNA from 1 species
UCUCCGUAGGUGAACCUGCGGAGGGAUCAUUACUGAGUGAGGGGCUCCGGCCCCAGACCUCCAACCCAUUGUUAUCCGACACUGUUGCCUCGGGGGCGACCCUGCCGCUUCGGCGGUGCGGCGCCCCCGGAGGCCAUUAAACACUGCAUCAUUGCGUCGGAGUUAAAGUAAAUUAAACAAAACUUUCAACAACGGAUCUCUUGGUUCCAGCAUCGAUGAAGAACGCAGC